GGUUGUGGCUCAGUGGUAGAGCACUUGCCUAACAUGCAUGGAGCACUGGGUUCAAUCCCCGGUACCA
rnacentral:tRNA from 1 species